GAAUCAGGAGGCAGAGCACAUGGUUAAAGCAUGAGAUGUGAAACCAGGAAGAACCAGGUCUGAAUCUUAGCUCCACCAGUGGUAGCUCCAAACCUUAGUCCUUUCUGAGCCUGCUUCUUCAACCCUAAGCUCAUCCCCUAUUCUCCUCUUGCAAUCCGGAUGCUGCCUGACUACCAACACACCUGCACAAAGCCCUCUGCAGCACCUGCCACUGGCCCAUGCUUUUGUCACUGCCACCUCCAGCUCAGCCUCAUUCCCCUCCAGGCUCUGCUCCAACACAUAGGACCACAGGAAUUCGGAAACGGGACCCAGAAAGUUGUUUCCUGCAAGUGGCUGGAACAACACAAGCAAUAAGUAUCCUGAAACAGGCCCUGUUCCAACAAACUGACCCAGAAAGGUCUGGUUAGGACAGGACCCUCACUAUACACUAAUACAUUUAAACUAAAAGGAUAUUAUGAAUUAUGUAGACAUAUCAAGCUGAGAGGAAAGGAAAUCCUAUCAUCUUGCAGGCUUCCUAAUG
rnacentral:antisense_RNA from 1 species